GCCUACGAGAAUACACAAGUACAAGAUUUGAAAUAAUAGAUUUCCUAUCCCAUAAGAACCAUGGUAAGAAGGAAAAUCCGGGAGUACAAAAUUGGUACAUAAGGACCAGCCAUAUGAACACACCGGACAUACUCGGAUAAUUAACACAUGGCGGACACCAAAACAAAAGAGCGUCGUUCGAAAUCGUACCAACUUUGCAUGUAGGAACUAGUAAUCAUACCAACCUAAUAUUUUCCUCAACAGAGCAUCUUACCACAAUCUUGAUCAGAUCGUUAUACUCUUCGUGUUACACUAACUCGUAUUAAAUAAACAUAACAUUAUUCUGUAUUUUAAAGUGCUAGUGAUUCUCUUCGUGUAUACUAAAGAGUGAAAAUGAAUAACCUAAACGAACUACUACUCGGCAUCUUUAAUUUACCUCCACCUUGAGCGUUAAUCUCGUUCAAAGUUCGUGACAUCAACCGAUCAGUUGCAACCUGACUGAUUGUUAUUUGGUUGAGACUCGAAGAUGGCAUCCCGCUGGAGUCAAGAAUUACGAGGCGAAUCUUUCACGCCGAUUGAAAACUGCAGCCCAUGAAAUAGGCUUAGAGAUCUGUUAUAAUUUUUUUGUAUUCGUUAAAUAUAUACAAAACUGCAGCGACACAUGAGUCAUAGGACGAUGCGGAUCGAGAGCGGCUCAUGUUAUUGUUGUGCCUCGGAACACGGACACCGCCUUGACGCACGAAACAUAACGAUAGAUAAACUUCAGACAAAACAAAGUCACCGUUAUGGGCAACCGUCGAUCUAAGACGAAUUUAAAUUUUCCAACUCCCCCCGACCAGUGUAAAUAAACAGACGCGAUCACGAACGAGUCAGUUAUUAUUCGAAUCAUUAUCCAAGUUACAGUUCGAGUAAACAUACGAGUUAUUUGUCCGAGUUAUUAUCUACGAUUAACAAAGUAUACGAGUUAUCGAGUUAUCCGCGAGCGAUCAUAUUCUAUCUUUGCGAAUACAUUUGUACGAGCGUCUUUCGACGAGGCUCGACCAGCACAUGCGUGGCGACCAGAGCAAUGCGUUCCGACGGGCGUCAGGCUGAAGAGUAGCUGAGGGAAUUGAGACUUUUUCAGAUUACAUCUAUAUAUUCAUAGAGGUCGAGCCGGAGACAAUGUCCAUGGGAGAGGUCCGCGACAUUCGGGAAAUGGGAUACUCCCACCCGGUAUCAAGACAGUACAUCGAGGAUAGAGACAGCGAUAUGCUCCAGGCAUUUGCCAUUAUCGCGGACUGGAGCUGGGAAGCCCGUACAAAGAAGACAAGCGUGGACGAGGAGGCGCAGAACUUUCGCCGAGACACGAACGCGGCAUGUGAUGCGUCGAUGCUGCACUGCGCGCCUGGUGUUAGACAGGACGGAAAUGCCUACUGGUGGACACCGGAGAUCGCAGAGCUAAGGGCAAGAAAACUUCGGGCCCGCAGGCGGUUUCAGAGAGCUCGCCGUCGGCAGCAUCAUGACGAGCAAGAGAUCUCCCUCUGCUACGAGGCAUAUAGAGAGGCGCGACAAAUCUUACAGCAGACGAUCAAAGACGCUAAAGCCCAAUUUUUGACGGGCCUCGUCCAGUCAGCCGAUUUCAACCCGUCGAUGCAUGGAAAACACAAUACAUUAUAACAUCCUGAUGCAACGGAUUACUGAGCAAGGACGGGUGCCUCCAUCAGAAGCAUGGCAGUGCUAGUGUGUUUUCUUUUUUUUCUUUUUCAUUUUUAUUUUGUUUACGAAGAUUCGUCGCGACUCGUUUUAACACGACAACCAUCGAUACCACAGGGCUGUUCCUGAGAUCUUCCCACGUCAUCUCAUUGUAUUUGUUGCCCCGUUUUUCGAUUUCAAAAUUGAAAAUAAUCGUCAUCUGGUCGCGAUGAUUCCCUGUUUCGCUAUCUUCGUUCGAGAUAAAAAGGAACCAACGUGAAGUGUAUUCGUGUCGAAUACCAUCAUGUUACCUUGAUCAAUCAUUGCACUAUAUUUAUGUAAGUUAUGUAAAAUAAAUUAUUUGUAAAGUUUACUUUAAA